rnacentral:rRNA from 1 species
AGCAGCCGCGGUAAUUCCAGCUCCAAUAGCGUAUAUUAAAGUUGUUGCAGUUAAAAAGCUCGUAGUUGAAUUUCGGGAUCGAUGGGUCGGUCAUGCCCUCGGUAUGUACUGGUCUCAUUGGUUCUCACCUUCUAAGGAACCAUGAUGUCAUUCGGUUGAUGUUGUGGGGAAUUAGGACUGUUACCUUGAAAAAUUAGAGUGUUUAAAGCAGGCCAACGCUUGAAUACAUUAGCAUGGAAUAAUGAAAUAGGACAUCCGAUUCUAUUUUGUUGGUUUCUAGGAUCGAUGUAAUGAUUAAUAGGGAUAGUUGGGGGCAUUAGUAUUC